GAAUAACUAUGGUGUCUUGGUUGUAGCUGGCUCCUCGGAGCAAUGUGCACGCCCGCCAUUUUUAUCUUUCCACCUGUGCACCGACUGUAGGUCUGGAUACCUCUCGCCCUUCACGGGGCGGAUGCGAGGAUUGCUCGUAAGGGCUCUCCUCGAAUUUCCAGGCUCUAUGUCUUUUUACACACCCCAAUAGUAUGAUGUAGAAUGUAGUCAAUGGGCUUCUUAGCCUAUAAAACACUAUACAACUUUCAGCAACGGAUCUCUUGGCUCU
rnacentral:misc_RNA from 1 species